rnacentral:rRNA from 1 species
AACGCUGGCGGCGUGCCUAAUACAUGCAAGUCGAACGGCUUUUCUAUGGAAGCUUGCUUCCACUGAGAAGAUAGUGGCGAACGGGUGAGUAACACGUGGGUAACCUGCCCAUAAGAGGGGGAUAACAUCCGGAAACGGGUGCUAAUACCGCAUAGUUUUCUUGGUCGCAUGAUCGGGAAAGGAAAGACGGCCUUUGUGCUGUCGCUUAUGGAUGGACCCGCGGCGUAUUAGUUAGUUGGUGAGGUAACGGCUCACCAAGACGAUGAUACGUAGCCGACCUGAGAGGGUGAUUGGCCACAUUGGGACUGAGACACGGCCCAAACUCCUACGGGAGGCAGCAGUAGGGAAUCUUCCGCAGUGGACGAAAGUCUGACGGAGCAACGCCGCGUGAGUGAAGAAAAGGUUUUCGGAUCGUAAAACUCUGUUGUCAGAGAAGAACAAGUUGGAGAGUAACUGCUCCAGCCUUGACGGUAUCUGACCAGAAAGCCACGGCUAACUACGUGCCAGCCGCUGC